rnacentral:rRNA from 1 species
AGGGUGUAAACGCUGCAGACUUGGUGUUGGAAGCCCUUUGGGGGCAUUCAGUGCCGGAGAGAAGUUGUUAAGUCUGCUACUUGGGGAGUACGUCCGCAAGGAUGAAACUUAAAGGAAUUGGCGGGGGAGCACCGCAACGGGAGGAGCGUGCGGUUUAAUUGGAUUCAACACCGUAAAACUCACCAGGGAAGACUGUUACAUGAAGGCCGAGAUGACCUUACUAGAUUUUCAGAGAGGAGGUGCAUGGCGUCAGUGACU